rnacentral:rRNA from 1 species
AACGAACGCUGGCGGCAUGCCUAACACAUGCAAGUCGAACGAGACCUUCGGGUCUAGUGGCGCACGGGUGCGUAACGCGUGGGAACCUGCCCUUAGGUUCGGAAUAACUCCCCGAAAGGGGUGCUAAUACCGGAUAAUGUCUUCGGACCAAAGAUUUAUCGCCUUUGGAUGGGCCCGCGUUGGAUUAGCUAGUUGGUAGGGUAAAAGCCCACCAAGGCGACGAUCCAUAGCUGGUCUGAGAGGAUGAUCAGCCACACUGGGACUGAGACACGGCCCAGACUCCUACGGGAGGCAGCAGUGGGGAAUAUUGGACAAUGGGCGAAAGCCUGAUCCAGCAAUGCCGCGUGAGUGAUGAAGGCCUUAGGGUUGUAAAGCCCUUUUACCCGGGAUGAUAAUGACAGUACCGGGAGAAUAAGCUCCGGCUAACUCCGUG